rnacentral:rRNA from 1 species
UACGAAGGGUGCAAGCGUUACUCGGAAUUACUGGGCGUAAAGCGUGCGUAGGUGGUGCGUUAAGUCUGUCGUGAAAGCCCCGGGCUCAACCUGGGAAUGGCGAUGGAUACUGGCGCGCUAGAGUGCGGUAGAGGAGAGUGGAAUUCCGCGUGUAGCAGUGAAAUGCGUAGAUAUGCGGAGGAACACCGAUGGCGAAGGCAAUCCCCUGGGCCUGCACUGACGCUCAUGCACGAAAGCGUGGGGAGCAAACAGG